rnacentral:rRNA from 1 species
UACGUAGGGUGCGAGCGUUGUCCGGAAUUACUGGGCGUAAAGAGCUCGUAGGUGGUUUGUCACGUCGUCUGUGAAAUUCCGGGGCUUAACCUCGGGCGUGCAGGCGAUACAGGCAAUACUUGAGUGCUGUAGGGGAGACUGGAAUUCCUGGUGUAGCGGUGAAAUGCGCAGAUAUCAGGAGGAACACCAAUGGCGAAGGCAGGUCUCUGGGCAGUUACUGACGCUGAGGAGCGAAAGCAUGGGUAGCGAACAGGAUUAGA